GUCGAGCGAACCACUCUCGGUGGGAAGCGGCGAACGGGUGAGUAACACUUAGGUGAUCUGCCCAUCAGACGGGGACAACGAUUGGAAACGAUCGCUAAUACCGGAUAGGACGAAAGUUUAAAGAUGCUCCUGGCAUCACUGAUGGAUGAGCCUGCGGCGCAUUAGCUAGUUGGUGGGGUAAAGGCCUACCAAGGCGACGAUGCGUAGCCGACCUGAGAGGGUGAACGGCCACACUGGGACUGAGACACGGCCCAGACUCCUACGGGAGGCAGCAGUAGGGAAUCUUCGGCAAUGGGCGAAAGCCUGACCGAGCAACGCCGCGUGAAUGAAGAAGGCCUUCGGGUUGUAAAAUUCUGUUAUAAGGGAAGAAAGGUGAUAGGAGGAAAUGACUAUCAAUUGACGGUACCUUAUGAGAAAGCCACGGCUAACUACGUGCCAGCAGCCGCGGUAAUACGUAGGUGGCAAGCGUUAUCCGGAAUUAUUGGGCGUAAAGAGCGCGCAGGUGGUUAAUUAAGUCUGAUGUGAAAGCCCACGGCUUAACCGUGGAGGGUCAUUGGAAACUGGUUGACUUGAGUGCAGAAGAGGAAAGUGGAAUUCCUAGUGUAGCGGUGAAAUGCGUAGAUAUUAGGAGGAACACCAGUGGCGAAGGCGACUUUCUGGACUGUAACUGACGUUGAGGCACGAAAGU
rnacentral:rRNA from 1 species